rnacentral:lncRNA from 1 species
AUGACUUGAGUUGAGCCAAAAAAUACCUCAUCGCGUCUAGCGAUUUAAAAUAUCUCCCUUUUCUCAACGAGAGGGGAAACAUUUCACUUCCGUGAGUAUAGACUUUGUGGCGCAUAUGUCCACAAGGCACAUAUCAUCAUUCAUCGGAUUGACCCCACAGAAAUCUAUAUAUAGACAUGAAGAUUCAAAAAUGAAAAUCAGUGUCAGAUAUAUAGAAUACAUACAAAUGUAUUUUUACCAAAGUGCCGAUACAAUAUAUUGUGAUAUGCAAUAUAUAAUGACAACAAAUAUCAUGUUCAUAUUAGAACAUCAGAAAUGAACAUAAAUAAAUAGAUCACUAAGGAGUUUGAGGGACUAAAUGUAGUAUCCAAACAUGUUGGUUCAGGCAUAUUCAACCAUCAUGUUAUCCAUGCCCAUAGGGUCUCGUCACAACAGGUGAUGUCGGGUUGAAGGUCGAAGUGAGAUUCAAACCUUUGCCCUUGAGGUUCAUUGUGUCCGAGGAAUUGCUGAUACAGAAUAAUCAGAUGCUAAGAUCCGAAUCUAGUGCCUUAUGAUGUAUACGAUAAUAUUUUUAUGUUAGCGGUGUGAUCCUAACUAGUCCUGACGAUAGGUGAAUCGUGUGUUCUUGGAUUUCACACAUUAUCUCAUGAGACACAAAGAUUGAUCAUGAUGUCAAUGGCCGAGAUAGGGCAGUGGUGGUCAUUGAGGGUGAAGCCUCAAAUUCCCUAGCCAUCGGUUACCAGAGAUAAUUAAUUUACGGUCAGUAAAUUAAAGACCAUCAUGGUUGAUGUUGUAAUGAACUUAGCAAAAUUAAUGGGUAUUUCAAGAAGUUAUCUUGAAAUAAUUAAUGUGAAUCUCAAAUUGGUAAGUAUGACACCUUGAAGAUAAUCUUCAAAAUGGAGUGGAUCUCGCAGCACUAGGGAGUAUAAUCUCAUGAAAUCAGUAGAUACUCACUUGUAAUGGCUUAUGUCAUAACUUAGAAAAAUGUGUGGGAGAGCACUUUGUAAAGCAACCAUAAUGUCAAAACAACAAUUUAGGUUUAUCAAUAGUGAGUGGUAAUCUGCAUAGGCAGUAGAUCCAUAUGACUACCUUGUGAUCCCAAGCAUAAAUUUGAAGAAAUCACUUUGAAUUUUGCAUGUGUAUUUGCAAGAAAUUGAAAAUCUCAAUUGCAAAUAGAUGUAUUAAUCUCGACAUGUGUUUAACAUGGAAAUAGAUACAUCAUAGUAAUAUUCUAGAAUACCUCGUACUCAACGGAGAAACGGUACUGGAGAGGUACUAAAUUUAUCUUCGCAGGUGAUUAAAGAUCUCUAUUGCAAAUGGACGUAAUUGAUAUCAACACAUGAUAAACACGAAAUAUAUUACAUCAACUUAAGAUCUGGAAUACAACUCGGUACUAAACAGAAUUACACUACUAUUGUGAUGAAUAGUAAUUAUGUUGCAAACUUGAUGCUCAAGUAAAAACUUGAAUUGUAUAGACCACAAAUUCACUGAGAUGAUCUUGUAACAAGUUGCCAGAUAAUUCAGCACAGUGAAUUAAUAUUUUAUGAAAGAAAAUUAAUCUAAAUCGCAAUGAGAUUGUUUUGUGAGAAAAUAAUAAUUCUCGAUCGCAAAUCAAUAUUGUUGUGCCAAAAAACUUAAUCUCAAUCGCAAACAAAUGGUGUUCUACUAAUAAUACAUGUUACUAGCAGACUGAAGACGCGGCGGCACACCGUGCCCGUCAAAGAGCCUAUGGUGUAUGUAGGUUGUCUUUUCUUUCCUGUUGAAUGUACUAAUAUACUAAGGUUUUCUAAUUCAUCCUAGCGUGCAUAAAUGUACAUUCAGUAAGUACAAUACCUAAAUGUAUUGUAGUAUACUAAUACAUUUGUUAGCUGGAUUCAUGGAUGUCCUUUUGUGUUUCGUGCAUCAUGGUGUUAAUUUUAUUUUGCGUAACACAGUACACAUAGUAAAAAGGCAACUUUAGCAGAUGUGCCUUCUGCUUUAGCGCAUUGAGAAACCACAACCAUGGUUGUUACCUUUAUAAAACUUGUCUAGAGGGUCACAAAGAGGAAGCUCUUCAGCCAUCUUGAUAUACAGGAAACACAAUAUUAGCAAUAUUAAUGAGGAUACAGAACAAACAACACAUGUUUCAGUUGAAGUAAUCUCCUAUCCAACAACUUAAAAGGAAGAAGCUGAUUUUCGAACAAAUGUUUCUUCGCACAAAAGAAUGGUGCUUUUACCGAACAUAAAAGACACCUAUUUCCCUUGUGCAUGCGAGUUUCAAGGGCAGGAAUGUAAUGCCAAGCAUAUGACUCCUCAGUUAUAUAGAAAUCAGGCUCAACAUACUUGGGUGCUCCUUGAAGGAAGGCUUGACAAAGUCCCACAAAGAAAGAUGGAAACAACUUAUGGGAAAACACAACAGGUCACUUUGCAUAUUAAUUACAACACACAAAUAAGAGUAAACAGCCCGGUAUCUCAACUCUUUAUAGCUUACCUUGUGAACAUAACAGAAAGCACCCACACUAAAAGUAAGGAAUUAUGGUACAUAUGAUGCAUAUGUCUCUGCUACAUAUGCUCACCGACUGGAAAUGCGUGCCAUAAUGUUUUAAUUCCAUAGCAAGAUAAGGGCAUAACUUCACCUAUGCAUCCUAUUCAAGUAGGAAUAGCUGCUAUCGCAGGAAAUUAUCUUGUUUCCUGAUAACGCGUGUAGCUGAAAUGCAACGGAUAGUGCCAAAAAAGCAAACAUUCUUGUAUGGAGUUGUACAUUGGCAACAAAUGUUUCUCUACAGAGUGGCCAGUUGGUUUCUUAAUCGGGUGACUCCAUAGAAGGUUUGCAUUGUUGGUCUUUGAGUGAGAUGGUUGUAUAGUUUGAAAUUAAGGAGAAAUUGCAAAGAAGAAUAAAAAAGGGGGGAAACUAUGCAUCAGAAAGAUGAAUGAACUGUUUUGUUCUAAUGCAUAAUUCCAACUGAGUAGCCAUAUGCACUAAUUGAAAAUAAGUUAACUUGGAAUAAAUGUUGAACUUACAAUUAGUGGAUAUAUCAUUGUUGCCCAGCACUUCCAAUGUGCAAGAAGCGUUGUAUUCUGUUUUCCGUAUUCUCAGUUCUUGAGAGCUCCGAUGAAGCUUCUUCAGAGCUUCAAGGAUGGGUAUUUAUUUUGAACCGCAAAGAAGAUUACGCCAUCAGUUUUACACUUCUGAAGGCAUAUGACCAUGAGAAAUUCAAUUAGACUAAAAGUAUUGUGAUAUUAGUGGCUUUGGAUGGGUUGAUUUCACAUUUAACACAGAAGCCAAACAGAAGGAGUAGAUAAUAUCAUUGAGAAACAAAACAAAUGUUUGACAGAGCUUACAAACAGAAGAGCAUAUCAAGUAUUGUUCAUUCUAGACAUGAUUAAUAUGUAUGUGCAUACAAAGCAAGAAACAUGAUUAGUUCUGGUACAUGAAAACGCAGUGUUGUCGAAAUUUAUGUGGUGGAAAAAAAUAGCAAACCUUUUAGCAAACAUAGUUCAUAGUUAUCUACAGGAUGGUAAGCACAGAAAUACAUCCUGAUUGUCGACAUUUCUUUUGCAUAGUGCCAACAUCAAGAUUUAAAAACAGAAAGUUGUGAAUUUAGCCUAAUUAUUGCCAUCGAGGAAACAUGUUUUUCUAAUUUUUUUAUAUAUAGUGGAUCUGAUGGUUAAGAAAUAAUUGGUUAAUCUGGAGCGAGACAAACAAACAUAAUUUGUGAAAAAUCAAAAGGCUCAGGACUGAGGCCUGCGUUGUGGAUGUGAAGCCACUGCACCACAACACUAUGUGCGAGUAGCCUCAUGUUGCAUCCCACAAUCCAAAGAUAAACCGAACUGGUCCUAUAGUUGAAACUUAGAGCAACAACUUAGUUUUACCUAAUAGUACGUAGGUAACAUCUUGCUCCGUUUUUAUAGCUCACCCUAAGGCUAAUUAUAAAGCUUAAGUAUCACUAUAGCAUAACACUAUAUACUUUGGUUUUCCUAAUUAGUUGAGACAAACCUUAAAUGAUCAGGCCAAAAAUCAGUAUCUGCAUUUGUAGCCGAGUAACAGUAAGAGCCGAACACCAAAAAUAUCAGUUCUGAAAAGCUUUAUGAGAAUUAAAUUAGUUAUGAAACACCAAAAUCAUUUUUUUCUGAGAAGAAAAACCAAACACAAACAGUUGCUUCCGACCUCCUAUUUUUCAUGUACAGAGCAUUAGGCUAAUAUGUGAAUCUACACUCAGAAACUACCAUGAAAGACAAAGCAUUGGGCUAAUCAUAUGGGAAUUUACAUCGACUGGUCCGCUGCAAAACUAAAAACAAAAGUUGGUUCAAUUGGUCAAUUAAUCGAGAAGGAUCAUAUGGUGUUAGCGUAUGCACCUUCGAAUUUGGAUUAGCCAUACCUUGUGUUGGGGGCAAGAUAUUAGCUUGGUUCUGGUUGUGGUGCGCCGCCUUUUUGAAGAAGCCGCCGGUGGGGUUGGUGGCUGUUGUGCCGGAGUGGGCCUUCUUCUCUGGAGGAAGGAGUUGACGGCUGAUUGUUGCUUGACAACUAAAUCCGUUUUCUAGUUGCUAACAAAAAACUUAAUCCGUCCUCUUCCCGUAUGAGAUGAUGAUGAUUUGAGACAUGCCCUACUCUUGACAUGGAUAAAUAGAAUCAAGUCAAACUAUAUAUACAUAAUCAUCUUAAAAAAGAAUUUUAGAAGUUGAAGAUGGUCAAAUAAAAUUAUCUCAACCGAAAGUGGCAUGAAUAAUCCGCACAUUUAUUUCAUUUUUAACUAUGAGAGUGACCUGCAUGACUUUUACAUGGAACAUGCAUGUACAACAUACAUUUUCUUUUCUGUCUUGGUUCCCAAAGUAUUUUUUUUCAUGUUAGUGGCUAGUUUUCUUAAAAGGUUGGGUCAUUUUAUGUGCAUGUUCUUAUUGUUUCAGUUCAAGCACACGACAAUCUAUAUGUUGAGCAUUUUUUUUGUUGCUCAAAAGUAUCCAGAAAAACUACUUUAGGCUUUUUAAUAUUUAAAAAUUCAACAUGUUCGUUAGAAGUGCCCACUUCAGUUGCAGUUGAGACCACUUCAUCCAACAAUGCGAUCUUAUGAGCUAAUUAAUGUUCAGUAUAAUACACCAUAAACCAUGGAAUCUGAGUAAUCAUAAGUACUUCGUAUGCCAUCUUGUGAGCUAAUGGAUGUUCAAUACAAUGCUGAAUUGUUCAUAUGUUGUGUGUUUACAACGGAAAAGGUCAAGGUACCAUGAGAGAAAACAUUACCUCUAUGGCUCAUCUAUAUCCACAACAACUACUACGAGCACUCCUGGUAGAACAUCCCCGACCUGGUAAGCAGCACACCCAACCCCGUAAUUCAUCCUCAAUAUUCCUCCCAUCUGUUGCUAACAAUGCCACCAUGCUAACAGUUCAUUGAUCCUAACAAAGCCACUCAACAAAAGC